rnacentral:rRNA from 1 species
UACGUAGGGCGCAAGCGUUAUCCGGAAUUAUUGGGCGUAAAGAGCUCGUAGGCGGUUUGUCGCGUCUGCCGUGAAAAUCCGGGGCUCAACCCCGGACUUGCAGUGGGUACGGGCAGACUAGAGUGUGGUAGGGGAGACUGGAAUUCCUGGUGUAGCGGUGAAAUGCGCAGAUAUCAGGAGGAACACCGAUGGCGAAGGCAGGUCUCUGGGCCGUUACUGACGCUGAGGAGCGAAAGCGUGGGGAGCGAACAGG